rnacentral:rRNA from 1 species
UACAGAGGGUGCGAGCGUUAAUCGGAAUUACUGGGCGUAAAGCGUGCGUAGACGGCUAUCUAAGUCGGGUGUGAAAUCCCCGGGCUCAACCCGGGAACUGCGUCCGAUACUGGAAGGCUUGAAUCCGGGAGAGGGAUGUGGAAUUCCAGGUGUAGCGGUGAAAUGCGUAGAUAUCUGGAGGAACACCGGUGGCGAAGGCGACAUCCUGGACCGGUAUUGACGCUGAGGCGCGAAAGCCAGGGGAAGCAAACGGGG